CACUGUACAGUUUUCCAUGAGGAGAUUGUCCUGUGGUUCCUUUUCUCCUUUUUUUGUUCUCUGCAUUUCUGUCUUUUUCUUUCUGAAUCACCAUGACAUGGUCCAUCAAUAAAUUACAGCAAAAGCGUAAAUGUGAAUUUUGUAGUCACUUCCCAUGACUAAUCAAUUCUUAUCGUAAGUCUUAUCUGUACAUAGAGAAACUAUAACUUAUUAUUUUGAGUCACUGAUAUGUUAACUGACAGAAUUUUGAGAGCUGAACUAAGAAUUUUUCAAGCAAACAAAUGCUAUUUUUGCUGUUACUACAAAUUGUUUUGAGAAAUGCGCUUACUGAUUUGUAAAUGCCAACAAUGACUUGAGAAAUGCACCAAAAGUGACUGAGAAAAACUAACAUAGCAUAAAUCGUCUCAGGUGUAUCCAUUUGUUUGCCUGUAUGAAAAGUGUACACAUUUACAGCUUUGUUUCUGCUAGCUUGCAGGAAUUGUAACUUACAUAAAUGGUUGAAGACAACUUAUUGGCCUUCAUGAGACUCAGAUAAAUGGUUGCAGAGAGGAUCAGACCUGUCAACAACAAACAAAGAUUUAAGAACUACUGACUUUUCAGUCAGAAAUGAUCACACCGCCUGGUUGAAGUCUCCAUAUGCAAGUCAACAAAGCAGAGAGGAAACACUCGAUUGACAACAUGUGAGUCUCAAUUUCAACCUGUGACUGGAAAGACUACAACCAUCCUGAGCAAAGUCUGAACUCAGUGACUUGUGACUCUCAACCCAGAACAAGAAUCCUUUUAUCACCGGUUUUUCUUCUACAGUAGGUUCUCUUUUAUGUGGACACAUGCAGUUUUUUUUGUUUGUUUUGUUUUCCAGAUCUCAGUAAUACCAUGAGGAAAC